AGCUUUGCGCAGUGGCAGUAUCGUAGCCAACGAGGUUUAUCCGAGGCGCGAUUAUUGCUAAUAGAUUAUCUAUUCUG
rnacentral:snRNA from 1 species